CCUACGGGAGGCAGCAGUGGGGAAUAUUGGACAAUGGGGGGAACCCUGAUCCAGCGACGCCGCGUGAGUGAAGAAGUACUUCGGUAUGUAAAGCUCUAUCAGCAGGGAAGAAAGGAAUGACGGUACCUGACUAAGCAGCCCCUGCUAACUACGUGCCAGCAGCCGCGGUAAUACGUAGGGGGCAAGCGUUAGCCGGAUUUACUGGGUGUAAAGGGAGCGUAGACGGUUACGCAAGUCUGGAGUGAAAGGCGGGGGCGCAACCCCGGGACUGCUUUGGAAACUGUAUGACUGGAGUGCAGGAGAGGUAAGUGGAAUUCCUGGUGUAGCGGUGAAAUGCGUAGAGAUUAGGAGGAACACCAGUGGCGAAGGCGGCUUACUGGACUGUAACUGACGUUGAGGCUCGAAAGCGUGGGGAGCAAACAGGAUUAGAUACCCCAGUAGUC
rnacentral:rRNA from 1 species